UACGAAGGGGACUAGCGUUGUUCGGAAUCACUGGGCGUAAAGCGCACGUAGGCGGAUGUGUCAGUCAGGGGUGAAAUCCCGGGGCUCAACCUCGGAACUGCCUUUGAUACAGCACGUCUCGAGUCCGGAAGAGGUGGGUGGAAUUCCGAGUGUAGAGGUGAAAUUCGUAGAUAUUCGGAAGAACACCAGUGGCGAAGGCGGCUCACUGGACCGGUAUUGACGCUGAGGUGCGAAAGCGUGGGGAGCAAACAGG
rnacentral:rRNA from 1 species